CUUCAUGGAGAGUUUGAUCCUGGCUCAGGACGAACGCUGGCGGCGUGCCUAAUACAUGCAAGUCGA
rnacentral:rRNA from 1 species